GGUCGCGUAGCUAAAUGGUAACAGCGCAGUUUAUUGCAUCCUGAGGAUCCCAGUUCGAUUCUGGGCGUGACCA